UACGUAGGGGGCAAGCGUUGUCCGGAAUUAUUGGGCGUAAAGAGCGCGUAGGCGGUCCGAUAAGUCGGCUGUGAAAGUCAGGGGCUCAACCCUUGGAAGCCGGCCGAUACUGUCGGACUAGAGUCCGGAAGAGGCGAGUGGAAUUCCCGGUGUAGCGGUGAAAUGCGUAGAUAUCGUAAGGAAGACCAGUGGCGAAGGCGGGUCUCUGGACAGUUCCUGACGCUGAGGCACGAAGGUCAGGGGAGCAAACGGG
rnacentral:rRNA from 1 species